CUUGGUUUUUCAAUUAAUCAUUUAGAUGGGAAACAUAAGCCUACUCAGCAACCAGGAAAAAGCAUGUGUUCCUGAUGUCUGUGAGCACCAGUCUGAGAUGCGCGGAUGCUCCAGCAUGCCUCCAGAAGCAGAGAAAGAACAAAAGCACUGGAACCGGUCUCCGGUUGCCUCUAGACUCAGAGAAGCUGGGUCUAAGUGUAGUGUUAGCUGCGGAUACCUGCUCAGCUGGCUAAGCCUUUAACAUGGAAAGAAGGCUCAUAAAGAAGGAAAUGAAAAAGCUCUUGGGAGAUUAUAUUGGCAUCAGACUUCGGGAAAAUGAAUUUGACCCAAAAGGAAGACGGCAACUCACCUUUCUAGAUGAUAUGGCACACUAUGACUUGGCCAUCAGUGUUGCUUUGCAAUGGCUGGAUCCCUCAGAAGACUUAACUUGGCUGGAGUGGGAGGAACUGAAAAUACCAUUCCAUGGCAGACCCAUAUAUCCAAAUCGUAGAGAACGAGAAGCUAUGAUUUUAUCAUCUUAUGCUGGAAUCUUAAUGAACAGUAUCCCGAUUGAGGAAGUCUUUAAAAUUUAUGGGGCUGAUUCUUCUUCCGAUUCUGGUACCAUCAAGGUUCCCCGAGUUUCAUCUCUCCGCCUCUCCUUGCACCCCUUUGCCAUGUUAACAGCACCCAAAGCAGCAGCAUACGCCCGCAAACAGAGUGUCAAGUCAAGAAAGGGAACAACAAAUAAAAAUGCCACCAGCAUCUCUGCAAAGGGAGCAAAUGCCACAGAAUGGAAAUCAUCACAAAGGUUUUCAGACACACAGCCAAAGCACAAAAGUCUCACUCUGUCACCCACACUCGAGUGCAAUGGCACAAUCUCAGCUCACUGUAACCUCCACUUCCCGAGUUCAAGCGAUUCUCCUGCCUCAGCCUCCCGAGUAGCUGGGAUUACAGGUAUGCACCACCACACCCGGCUAAUUUUUGUAUUUUCAGUAGAGGUGGGGUUUCAUCAUGUUGUCCAGGCUGGUCUCAAACUCCUGCCUCAGCCCCCCAAAGUGCUGGGAUUACAGGCGUGAGCCACUGUGCCCGGCCGAAGGUAUUAGACUUUCUAGAACCAUAUCUUUGUUUCUGAAGAAUUUUUUGAAGAAUUUGAAAAAUAAGUUCAUUUUUUAUACGUGUUUGGAAGCAGCAAGUUUUAGAGAGCAAAACAAAACAACAAUGAAAAAACAGUAACAACUCCAAAAAUCACACACACAGACACAAUCUAGACUUUAAACUUAAUCACACACACACAAAAAGAUCUCUGAAACAGGGGUUUAUAGACACCCCCGGCAAGCCUCAUCAAUGGACCCUAUGUAAGGAGAACCUACCUCUAAAGAUUACUCAUUGGUAUCUUAUUUUUAAAUAUAAUUUUGUUCCAUAUAUGUUUUCUUCCACAACCAAUGAAGAUUCUUCGAUUCUUGAUGGAAGCAUAUCUUUUAUUUCCUUAGUAUUUCUCACAUGUAUAUAAAGUACUUCGCAGGCAGCAGAGAUUCAGUAACAAUUUUUAUUUAGUGAAUUGGCAGUAGGUAGUAAGCGAAUAGUCCUUAGGUGACGGUUCUCAAAUCUCUGUGCCCUGUCUAUAGUGAUCAAAGGCUCAGUUCUGGGGACCAGACCUUUCUAUAGGCUGAUUGAUGCUUGCGAGCCCAGGAGUGUCAAAAAAACAAAUGCCCAUGUUUUAGUAGGGCCCCAGGUCCUGAGAUGAAUCCCUUCCAGAAAGGCCCUUUCUUAAUCAAGCGACAGAAAACUCGUUUGUGUUUUUUCUUUCACACUUUAUUAUUUGUGCACUUUAGGCAUUUUUUCCAACUCUUUUAUUUUUUUGAGACGGAGUCUCGCUCUGUCGCCCAGGCUGGAGUGCAGUGGCGCAAUCUUGGCUCACUGCAAGCUCCGCCUCCCGGGUUCACGCCAUUCUCCUGCCUCAGCCUCCUGAGUAGCUGGGACUACAGGCGCCCGCCACCAUGCCCGGCUAAUUUUUUGUAUUUUUAGUAGAAACGGGGUUUCACCGUGGUCUCGAUCUCCUGACCUCGCGAUCCGCCCGCCUUGGCCUCCCAAAGUGCUGGGAUUACAGGCUUGAGCCACCGCGCCCGGUCCAACUCUUGGGUCACUUAGAAAAUUGGAAUUGUACCAUGGAACUUCAUAAUAGAUUCUCUGGGAGCAGACGAGAAGCAUCAUCUCAAAACCACAGCUCUU